rnacentral:rRNA from 1 species
UGGGGAAUAUUGCACAAUGGGGGAAACCCUGAUGCAGCAAUGCCGCGUUAAGGAAGAAGGGGUUCGCCUCGUAAACUUAAGACGCUAAUGAAGAAUAAAUGACGGUAAUUAGGCCGAAGCCCCGGCUAACUACGUGCCAGCAGCCGCGGUAAUACGUAGGGGGCAAGCGUUAUCCGGAAUUACUGGGCGUAAAGGGUGAGUAGGCGGUUAUUUAAGUCAUAUGUGAAAGGCCAGGGCUCAACCUUGGGACUGCAUAAGAAACUAAAUAGCUAGAGUACAGGAGAGGUAAGCGGAAUUCCUAGUGUAGCGGUGAAAUGCGUAGAUAUUAGGAAGAACACCGGUGGCGAAGGCGGCUUACUGGACUGAAACUGACGCUGAGGCACGAAAGCGUGGGGAGCAAACA